rnacentral:rRNA from 1 species
UUCGCAAUGCCCGAAAGGGUGAACGAGCGACGCCGCGUGCGGGAUGAAGGCCUUCGGGUUGUAAACCGCUUUUCUUAAGGAAGAACUUAAUGACGGUACUUAAGGAAUAAGAGGUUACUAACUCUGUGCCAGCAGUAGCGGUAAUACAGAGACCUCAAGCGUUAUCCGGAUUUAUUGGGCGUAAAGCGCGGGUAGGCGGGAAUAUUAGUCAGAUGUCAAAUCUUCGAGCUCAACUCGAAAACUGCAUUUGAAACGGUAUUCCUAGAGAGUGUGAGAGACCAGUGGAACUCAUGGUGUAGCAGUGAAAUGCGUUGAUAUCAUGGGGAACACUAAAGGCGAAGGCAUCUGGUUGGCGCACUUCUGACGCUGAGCCGCGAAAGCGUGGGUAGCGAAUGGGAUUAGAUACCCCAGUAGUCCACGCCGUAAACGAUGGGCACUAAGUAGAGGGGUUUU